AUGUUAUUUUAUUAUUUAUUUUAUUUUUAUCUAUCUAUUUUCUCUUGGCAUCAAGAUCCCACGCAAAUCUUCUCCUGGUGGGGAAAAAAAAAUGGGGGAAAGAAUGCUCGGAUCGGCCCAAGGCGAAGGGCAGGAACACGAGGUCGGCCGUUAAAUCGAACUGUCGAAAGUCGCAGCCGAGAGCCGCGUUCGCACCUAGCGCCGGGGGCGGAAAAACGAGAGAGAGAGAGAGAGAGAGAGAGAGAGAAAAAAAUCGUGAUACACGCAAGAAAAAAGAAGAAAAAUAGAGACAAUUAUUUUCCACCUCUUUUUAUACAUCGAUUUUUGGGGGUUUUAGGACGCCGCGACGGCUUCGAGAUGUCGAAUAAGGCUUUUCCGUACUCUGGAUCCCGAGGACGGUCCCGGUCACGUAACCCCCAAAUAUGGCAUUUUCCCCCGCCCCCAAAAAAACAAUCCCGAAAAUUAGAUUUGGACGUAGCUCCUCAAAACCCCUACGAGCUUCUGGAUUUGCCCAAUCUGCCGUCAUCGUCUUUGUGCACACGCGUCCCCCAACACCUUGAAAACGUGUGAAUUUAGGUGCGAGCAGCAGCGCUCGUCUCGGAGCAGCGCGAGGUCCUGGCUGUCGGGUUUUUUUU
rnacentral:lncRNA from 1 species